rnacentral:misc_RNA from 1 species
UCUCCGUUGGUGAACCAGCGGAGGGAUCAUUACAGAGUUGCAAAACUCCCUAAACCAUUGUGAACGUUACCUAAACCGUUGCUUCGGCGGGCGGCCCGGGUCCUUCCCGGCGCCCCUCGGCCCUCGCGGGCGCCCGCCGGAGGUAAACCAAACUAUUGCAUUGUAUGGCCUCUCUGAGUCUUCUGUACUGAAUAAGUCAAAACUUUCAACAACGGAUCUCUUGGUUCUG